GGACAAAUAUGUGAGAAUAAAGAAGAAAUUGAGUAGUAGAAGUGGCGAUUCAGGAGGGAAUAAAGUACCUCCAUAUUACAGAAAGCUUUCUUGGCUGUCCGGGUACAUAAAACACCGUGAAACCGACUCCAACUUUGUCGAGGACACAAAUGGGCACUCCCCACCCUGUCUGGAAGCAAAUUUGACUUCCUCAAUCAACAAAGACGAGGCUACAAUUGAGUCUGGAGGCAUGGCUCAAAUCGAGGAACUUUUGUCCAAACAAGUUCGCCGUUACCGGCAUUUGUACGACCCUUCGUCGGAUUUGUAUAAGAACAGUGUGGUUACUCACGUUUCCUGGAAAGAGAUAGGAGAAAUUCUGGGCGAAGAGCCAGCAACUUGCCAGAAGAGGUGGAAGCUGAUGAGGGACAAAUAUGUGAG
ensembl:lncRNA